UGUGAUGAUGUUAGAACCAGACGUUUCACCAAUUCCAUUAUCGGUUCCAUCAAAAAACGUGCCCAUUCAUUAACCGGUGUAUCCUACAACGCCUUUUCCUCAAGCAACGUCUUUCUUCUUCCUUCUCCCUCCAUCUCAAACGAAAACGUGAGUUUUAUUUAAUGGUUUUAUAACACAUGGAAUUUGUUUUGGAUGACGAUGUUUUCCAUUGAAAGAUCGUAGUUCGCACACGGAAAACCUGUAAGUUCAAAAUUGCUUUACGUCGCCUCAAGUUUGGGUAAUUACACUUAUUUUCCUUUCUAUUAGCCUAUAUAAUCUACUUUUUAUCAUCAAAAUAAAAAAGCGAAAGAACAGUCGCUUUAAUUUUUACUUAAAGUCGAUCCGUUUGACAGAAAAAUGAAGUGUAUCAGAGGAAAUGAGGUUUGGAGUGUAGAUGUUACUGACCCUCCGUUCAUUAAUGUUAUAUGGCUAGGAACCCAUUUCUAUCGAUUGAUUCUAGAACCCAUUUUUUUUUUUUUUUUUUUAAUUUUAAGAGAGUUUUAUCAAGUGAUGCUACAAGCCAAGUCGAAAAGUAAUCUCUAUGGUUGCAUUUCAUACAAUGUAUAUAUGAUAUUAAAAGGUAAUGUUUCAUAUGAUUUAUUGGAGUUUGGUUUCAGAAUCUUACAUGUCACAGAUAUGAACAAUUCAUCUACAUUUUUAGUUGGAAAUAGUUCUUAAGUGAUGAAACAAUAUGUAUGAAUCUUCAUUAAUCAAAUUUUGAUGAACAUUCGAUUAAGUUCUAUCCAAAAGAGAAAGAUUGAAGAUUUUAAACGUGGAUGUUAGUCGUUUUCCUGGUUGGGUUGGAAUACACCUGUAGAUUAUAUAUAAAUAUGAGCUCUUGUCAUAUGCCCAUAAACUGUUUGACAAAAUGCCACCAAGAAAUUUCUUAAUCUGGAAUGCAUUGAUCGGUGGAUAAUCUCUUAGUAGUUGGUUCGUGGAGAAAUGAUUUAAACACAAAGCCUCACGCCCUUAUCUAGUUGGGAGACCAAGAUAAGAUGUCUAUAUUGUUGUUAAGUAGGUGCCUUUUAAGGGUUACAACAUCGAGUCACAUGUGCUUGAUUAAACAAUACAUGCCAUUGAUUUUAUUCACAUCAUUGUUCUCUUUUUUCGUCACCAAACGUAACAAAUCCAUACCAUUUUGAACACGGUUACUUUUAAAAUAUAAAACUGUAAUUUAGAUUAUAUAUAAUCAUGAAAAAGUUUCAUGUCAUUAAGAUUUAAAAGAGCUAAAAAGGGCUAUAUUGCAAUUUCCGCUCCAUUCAGUGACGGAAUGAAAAAGAAACCCCAUGGAUAGGCAGAGAAAAUAUUGAAUUUGAGUAGUUAUGAUGGUGUUUAAGGUGAAGGAGCAAGUAAAUGAAAGUAAACCAAUGUGCUACAAAAGGCAUAUAUCUCACAUCACUAUCAAGGAAGAUAUACAUUACAAGAAGCAUGAAAUAUUGUUCGAAAAUAACUAAGACCCUAAAAGAUUUGGGGAUUAAUUAAUGAUUUUGAUAUGAUGUUUAAACUAAAAAUGCAUUAACAAUUAAGUUAUGGUCCUGAAAUUUUGCGGUUAAGGGAGAAAAGGCAUGCUUAGACAAUGAAUUUCAUUGGGGAGAAUUAUAAUGUUGUCGGAAAUAACAUUGGAUUUUACUUUUUUUUUUUUUUAUUAUUUAUUAUUUUUUUUUUUAUUUUUUUAUCAAUAUAGGCUAACUACUUUCCUUUUUAUAUUGCAAUGUAAUUUCAUCUUUUACCCAUAAUAGCAUUGCACUUUUAUUACCUUACCAAUAAUAAAAGAAACUUGGUUCUUUAGUGAGAAUAACAACAUACUUUAAAUUCAUUACCCAUAAUAAAAAGCACUCCGGUUAUAAUAUUCUUUUGUAAUGUUUUUAAAUAUUUAAAUUAGCCUCUAUUUUCGUGCCUCCUAAAUUAGAUUUACUGGGUCCUUUUGAUGCCACGUGUCCUACUUCUGAAUGACGCCACGAAUAUUGAAGGAGUGCAAUUGGGCGGGUUUGAUGUUGAUCCAUGUGUACCGUCUCCUUUCUUAAAGUCGCCAUGUUCCAUCAAAGUAGAUCCCCGCCGUUUCAUUUUGGAUGCCUCUUAAUCUGCCAAGAAACAAUGUUUUUAGUUAAAAACCCCCAUCCUCUGUUAAUUUCACCGCUAUAAUUAUAGAUUAAUAUCCUAGAUGUUUUGUAUGUGUUUGACGUUAUUUCAGCUUGAAUUGUGUCUAUAAUAUCAUGUGCGGUGUUCACCACCAUAAUGUUGUCAUGGAGUGGGCUUGAAUUUGGUGGGUUGAUUAUAAGAGAGCUACGAAAUGAGAAAACAAUCAUCCGUUGAUUAUUUGUCGAAAGAUAUUAUUCAACCGCACAUCAUUUACAUUCAGGUAGAUCUAUAUAAAGAUUGACGCCCACAUUAUAUCACUCACGAUGGUACUUUCUUGCUACUCAAGUGGCUUAAACUAGCAUACCUUUCUAAUCUGGGUUUGAUGUUGACGCCCACAUUUAAUCUGGGUUUGAUGGAAUUUACCUUUUCAACUAGCCUAAAUGUGCCAAAUUUUGUUCAUUGUGUCUAAUUAGGAAGGUGUGAAUUCAUCCAGCACCAUCUGACUUGGGUGGGUUCAACGCCAGGCGCUCAGUCAUCACAGUCAUCACACUGUAUUGUCUUUUUCUGGUUUUCCAAUUUCGUAUUUCAACCUCCUUCAAAGGUCACGUCGAAUAAAGAAAUAGUGAAAUAGUGGACAUAGCAAUAAAGAUCAAUGACAACCAAGGAACAAGUGAAUAAAACCUUGAAUCCAAAAUCAAAGAUGGUAUUUCAUGAGUAAUACCAAUAAAAAUAGAGUGCAAAACAAAUGAUGCAUAUAGGUUUUCCAUAAGUCGAAAUAUUCAUAUCAGAAUAUUGUAAAGGAUUUUCAAUUAUUUGUUGAAUAUAACAAUAUACAUUGAUUUUCUUUUUACUUAUUCAUGCAUUGUAAAUUGAAAAUCCAUCCAUUUAUAGCAUUGUGCUUUUUUGGUUGAUAGCACAAUAUAUUUUAAAUAACCCAAA